UACGUAGGUGGCAAGCGUUGUCCGGAUUUACUGGGCGUAAAGAGCGCGCAGGCGGUCGUGCAAGUCGCGUGUGAAAGCCCCCGGCUCAACUGGGGAGGGUCAUUCGAUACUGAUCGACUCGAAGGCAGGAGAGGGAAGCGGAAUUCCCGGUGUAGUGGUGAAAUGCGUAGAUAUCGGGAGGAACACCAGUGGCGAAGGCGGCUUCCUGGCCUGUUCUUGACGCUGAGGCGCGAAAGCUAGGGGAGCAAACGGG
rnacentral:rRNA from 1 species